UAGAAAUAAGAAACGAUAGUCGG
rnacentral:snRNA from 1 species